rnacentral:siRNA from 1 species
GAAUCUUUGGUAGAGACGAGUCGC